UUCCCCUCCGUGUUUCAGAGGUCCCCCCUUGCCCGCAUCCCUCCCGGCACCCCGAGCUGCUGCAGGCACUGCCACACGCGGCUGUGUCCCCAGGGGCCUGCAGGGGACACGAUUGCCGUGGGGACUCCCCGGGGACAGGAGCAGCUCGCAGUGAAGUGCAGCCCUAAGUGGCUCCUGCGUCACGUGGCGAGGAUAAGUGCAAAAUGGCCCUAUUAUGAUAAUUGCCCGGAAUUAUGAUUGAUGGAGAUUAGCUGCUUAUUUGAGGAAAUGGCAGGCGCACGUGUGACACGGGCAGGCCGGGCACAGCCACCGGGCCACGGGGGCAUGGGGCACGCCAGCAUGGCUCUUGUGGCACAGACAGUCACCAGUGCCAUCCCCGGAGCUGCCACAUCCCCGGGCUGGCAGGUGCCACCAGCCAGGGACAGUGGGUGAAGCGUGGCAGGAGGAUGGGACGGGGCAGUGUGACCCCCUCACACCCCGUCCUGCCCACGGAGGGCUCCUGGCUGCUCCUGCCAGCUCAUUAAGGACAUCCCUGAUUAAGGGCAAAGCUGUUAACCAGAGAUGGCCGCUGCUCUCUUGUGCUCCUGGUGCCUGCCCCAGCACCCCUGUGCCUCCCGGUGAAUGUGGCUCCAGUGAAUGAUUUAUUUUGGGAGAACUGAGCAGGAGCUGUUCCCUGUCUCCUGCCUGGCGAUUCCCACCCCAUUCCCUUGGCCUUAGGGGCCCUCUAAAGGCAUUGGCACCAGGAGCACCCACGCUAUGUGGCACAAGCCACAUACCCACUUGUGCCUUCAAGGACACCCAAACCAGGAGCUUUGGGAAGAAAAGCUGGGAAAGCAGGGCUGGCUGCUGAUGGCUGGCCAGGAUGGAGCCAUGGCACCGCCGGGGCCAGGAUUUUGGCACGAGCUGGGGACGCUGUGUUGCACAAGGCUGAGACGGCCGUGCCAGGCGACGCGCGGCCAGAGGGCACCCCAAAACCCCCACCCAUCGCCACAAGUCCCUCCUCCGCUCUCCCCUUCCCAAUUUCCCGGGCCCCCCUGUGCAGCAGACGGAUGCUGGGUAAGAGGUGUGUCUGUGGGAGCCAUCCUCGCCGCGCAGCAUCGCCCGUCUGCGGCGGCGCUUGCCAGCCCUGCCAUGGCUUUCCUGCCCGGGCUGGGGGCACAGCCUGGGCCGCGCGGGGCUGAGCCCCUGCACGCCACGCUGGCACCAGGAACGGCAUCCAGAGCCUGUGCCCGGGGACGAGGACAUCGCCCAGCCGGCCUUGGCCAAGGGAAGGGGUCCCUGGUGGGUCCCCGCCACCGGGCACGGCGAAGCCAACUCCUUCCUCUGCCUUCUCCCCUUUUCCUCCCCCCGUUUGGCAUUUGGCAGCGGAGCCGUGGCGGCGGCUGGGGCGCACGGUGCCGGGGAAGGGCUGCCAAGCCCCGGCAGCCCCCCGCGGCCCCCGGCCCCCCGUGCCAAGGCUGGUGGCUGGCAGAAGGGCUGCCUGCGCCUGGCAGGGCUCCGUCAGCUGCGGGAGGAUCCCCGUGCCGCGCUCGCUGCCAAUUUCCCUGCGAGCUGGCACCGCAGGCGGCUCCGGAGGCACCGGCAGAGAAGGCUGGGGAGGACGGAUUGUGAAAGGGAGAGAGGGGGAAAAAAAAAGAAAAAAUAAUGGACACAUGCCAUCGCUGGAGCGGCGAGGCUGCCAAAACGCCAGCAGGCAGCGGGGGCCAAAGCCCGGCGGCGGCGGCGGAGAGGAGGCUCUGGCAGCGUGGCACAUGGAGCACGGGCAGCGAGGAGGAGGCACGGCGUGGCCGAGCAGGACGGGCGGCAGCCGGCGAGGACUGAGGUCUCAGGCCCAUGGGAGCAGCCUGGAUGUCACUGUGCCACCCUCCUGCUGUGGGACCGUCCCGGGCUGUGGCUCAGGAUGGGAUGGAUGUGGAUGUGCCACCAGCCUGCUCCUUGCUGGGAUGCACCAACUGCUGAGCACCAAAUCCUCUGGGAUGUGGCAAGGGGAUGGGAUUUCCCUGUGACCCUCCUGCAGCCAGGACUCAGCACCCCCAGGAGUGAAGGUUCAUUGCUCCAGAGGUUCAUCUGUGGGAGCACAAGUGGAGCUUCACCAAACGUGCCCAGGCCCUGCUGCUGCCUUGGGGACCAGGAUUCUGCCUGGGAAGGAGGAACGUGCUCCUGCCCUGCUCCAGACCAGGGCAGCAUCACCAGGGGACCUGCAGAGACCCUCUGGGGCUGUGCCAGGACCUGCUUUGCUGGCCUGCAGCACCACCACUCCUAAUCCCAGCCCUGCUCCGUGUCCUGGGGAUGCUCCCGGCUGUCUGCCCCACAGCGGGAGCUCUGCGUGCACAGGGCCAUCCCACCCUCCUGUCCCCAGGGAAGCGGGCUGGGCAGUCCUGUGGAGGGGCUGGUUUUGGGUGGCACGGGGGAGCUGGAGGAGGUCCCGGGCGCUGCCCGUGCCGGGAGCUGCCGGUCACUGCCAGGUUACAUCUGCCGGGGCACGCAAGAGUGACUCCAGAUGCAUUAGAAGUGCCGUGCUCCAAUUUCAAUUUCAUCGUCUCACAAUCAUUUUCAGGCUCCUCUUAGUGCCACAUUAACGAAGCCUGCUCGUUUGAAUGCAUAAUUAGCCCAAGCAUUCUACCUCGCUAAUUUCGAAGCAAGGAGGGGGGGGAAGAGAAGGGGGGGAAUUUGCAUAUUAAUUUAGCAGAGGGAGAGAAAAACUGUUUACCACUUGCUUCUUGCUGUUGAUCACAGCGGACUUAACUCUUUCCCGGGUGCCAUCUGGAGCUGCGGAGCGGAGCCCGGGCGGCACGUGGGACGGGCUGCAAAGGUCACCCACAGCAAUCCAACCCUGCCGACCACCCGGGCUGCCCCGCGGGGCGGCUUGGGCACCACAGGGCACGUCAAGGGCGGCUGAGGGGGAGGUGGCAGCUCCGAGGUGUCCCCCAGCCCUCCUCCCCGUGUGGUUCCAGGCUGAAAAGCCACCCAUUGUCACCCCUCAGGGUGGCAGGGUCCCGUCCCAGAUUUGUCCCUGCCAUCGUGGCAAAGCAGGGGAAGGGAUUCCCAACGGUGUCACCUCUCCUGCAAAGCGUGCCUGGGUCAUCCUCGCCGUGUCCCCUUCAAAGGGACACCUUUGCCCCCACGGUGCUCUGAUUUUUAACAUCACCCACCCGUAACAUCACCCACCCGUGCGCCCCCCAGCCCCUCUGCAGCAGGGGUGUCCCAGGGGGUCCCCGCAGCUGCUGCACACGGAGAGCACCCAGGGGCAGGGUGGGCAGCCGGGCUGGGCUCUGACCGCCCUCGGCAGCCCCCCAAACACCAUCUCCCUUUGUUUGGGAGUCCGUGGGCGUCUGGAGCCGAGGUUGGAGGUAAUUUGUCUGUCUCCUGCAGCGGGCUGUCAUCUCGCAUCUGUGAGCCAGUUCCAUUUGCACUGCCAUUAAAACAUUCUCAGGUCUGACAGGUAGUAAAAAAAAAAAAAUAAAAAAAAGAGCAACAGGAUGUUGGGAAUAUCACGGGCUCGUCGCAGCUGGACCACCCUCACUUCCAGCUCUCGCUACCCAGGUAUUUGGAUUUGAGGGUGCUGGCAGCAGCUACGAGCCCUCUUUUGGCCUUUGCACGUGUAUCCCCAGGGAUACCCCUUGGCACCUCCAUCCCAGCUCCCCGAAAUGCCUUCCUCACCCCGGAGGCCCCCGGCCCAUCAUCCACCCUGUCUCCUGGCUCGGAGCCAUCCCAGCGCGUCACAGCGAUUUGGGGACACCUCCAUCACCCUCGGCAUUCCCGCGUGGCUGCCGCAUCCCGGCCGCACGCAGCGAUGUCGGGGCUUUGUGCUGGCCCUGCCCCGGAGCUGCGGGAAGGGGCACGUCCCAAAGGGGGGUCAGGGGUCUCCGGGGCGGCCGGAGCGCUGCCGGCGCCGCGGAGGAGCGCGGGGCUGGCUCCGAAAGGGUUAACAGUUGAUUACAGCCUUUGUCUCCGCAUCAGUGUACAUAAUGCGCCCGCAUUUGCAUACUGCAGUGUGCGCUCAAUUAAAAUGAACUUUUAAUUUCU